UACGAAGGGGGCUAGCGUUGCUCGGAAUUACUGGGCGUAAAGGGCGCGUAGGCGGACAGUUUAGUCAGAGGUGAAAGCCCAGGGCUCAACCUUGGAACUGCCUUUGAUACUGACUGUCUUGAGUUCGGGAGAGGUGAGUGGAAUGCCGAGUGUAGAGGUGAAAUUCGUAGAUAUUCGGCGGAACACCAGUGGCGAAGGCGACUCACUGGCCCGAUACUGACGCUGAGGCGCGAAAGCGUGGGGAGCAACAGGG
rnacentral:rRNA from 1 species